rnacentral:rRNA from 1 species
GGAGGGUGCAGGCGUUAUCCGGAUUCACUGGGUUUAAAGGGUGCGUAGGCGGGUCAGUAAGUCCGUGGUGAAAUCUCCAAGCUUAACUUGGAAACUGCCGUGGAUACUAUUGACCUUGAAUGUUGUGGAGGUUAGCGGAAUAUGUCAUGUAGCGGUGAAAUGCUUAGAUAUGACAUAGAACACCAAUUGCGAAGGCAGCUGGCUACACAAAUAUUGACGCUGAGGCACGAAAGCGUGGGGAUCAAACAGGAUUAGAUACCCUGGUAGUCCACGCCCUAAACGAUGAUUACUCGACAUUUGCGAUAUACAGUAAGUGUCUGAGCGAAAGCAUUAAGUAAUCCACCUGGAAGUACGACCGCAAGGUUG